rnacentral:rRNA from 1 species
UUGGGAUAACUCCGAGAAAUCGGAGCUAAUACCGGAUAGUUCAACGGACCGCAUGGUCCGCUGAUGAAAGGCGCUUCGGCGUCACCUUGAGAUGGCCUUGCGGUGCAUUAGCUAGUUGGUGAGGUAACGGCCCACCAAGGCGACGAUGCAUAGCCGACCUGAGAGGGUGAUCGGCCACACUGGGACUGAGACACGGCCCAGACUCCUACGGGAGGCAGCAGUAGGGAAUCUUCCACAAUGGACGAAAGUCUGAUGGAGCAACGCCGCGUGAGUGAUGAAGGUUUUCGGAUCGUAAAACUCUGUUGUAAGGGAAGAACACGUACGAGAGGUAAUGCUCGUACCUUGACGGUACCUUACGAGAAAGCCACGGCUAACUACGUGCCAGCAGCCGCGGUAAUACGUAGGUGGCAAGCGUUGUCCGGAAUUAUUGGGCGUAAAGCGCGCGCAGGCGGCCUUUUAAGUCUGAUGUGAAAGCCCCCGGCUCAACCGGGGAGGGCCAUUGGAAACUGGAAGGCUUGAGUACAGAAGAGAAGAGUGGAAUUCCACGUGUAGCGGUGNAAUGCGUAGAGAUGUGGAGGAACACCAGUGGCGAAGGCGACUCUUUGGUCUGUUACUGACGCUGAGGCGCGAAAGCGUGGGGAGCAUACAGGAUUAGAUACCCUGGUAGUCCACGCCGUAAACGAUGAGUGCUNAGGUGUUGGG